rnacentral:rRNA from 1 species
UGGGGAAUAUUUGACAAUGGGCGAAAGCCUGAUCCAGCCAUGCCGCGUGUGUGAAGAAGGUCUUCGGAUUGUAAAGCACUUUAAGUUGGGAGGAAGGGCAGUAAGCGAAUACCUUGCUGUUUUGACGUUACCGACAGAAUAAGCACCGGCUAACUCUGUGCCAGCAGCCGCGGUAAUACAGAGGGUGCAAGCGUUAAUCGGAAUUACUGGGCGUAAAGCGCGCGUAGGUGGUUCGUUAAGUUGAAUGUGAAAGCCCCGGGCUCAACCUGGGAACUGCAUCCAAAACUGGCGAGCUAGAGUAGGGCAGAGGGUGGUGGAAUUUCCUGUGUAGCGGUGAAAGGCGUAGAUAUAGGAAGGAACACCAGUGGCGAAGGCGACCACCUGGGCUCAUACUGACACUGAGGUGCGAAAGCGUGGGGAGCAAACAGG